rnacentral:lncRNA from 1 species
AAAAUUAAUUAAAACAUAAAAGUAAACAAAUAAAUAAAAAAAGCAUGUCUCUACAAAGGCCCAAUAAUAUUCCCGAAAGCCCAAGUUGAAAGUUAUAAAAGAAAAGAAAAACUAACUAGGGCAUGCGAGCUUCUCUUCUCUCGUAGCCUAUUGCGCCGCAAUGUCAAAUUCUUCACAAGGAAGAGGUAACAGUUUUCCUUGCACUCCCUUCUUUUUUUGGCAACGCCGUCGUGUUGCUACUAACACAGCUUUGAUUUUUUUUUUUCAGUGUUGCUAAGGUGCUCCCCCGUUUGAUUUAUAUUUGCAUUUCGUGGUUUUUAAUUUAUUUUAAGAGUGGUGCAUUUAUACUUUUUGGGAUUACCAUUUUUUUUUUUUUUGUGGUAGGUCUGUUAGAGUUUGGGAUUUGGAAGAGCAUGGUGAAGGUUCAGAUAAAUAACAAGGAAGAAUUUUCCGUAAUGAGGAAAGGUGAUUACAGUGAUUGACAGUUUGUUAGUCACUUGUGUAUUGUUGCAGUCACAACGGUAAAUAUUUAAAAUUACUUUGAGUUAUUUUCUAUUACCCACAUAGAAGAAAAGUUUUAUAGACUUUGCUCUGCUACAUAUUCCAUAUAAAAUAUUUAGCUAAUAAAUGAUAUUUAAACUUUUUUAAAAUUAAUUUCUAGUUAUUUUUUUUUUUGUGAUUGAUGAGAUAGUUUUUUCUCCACCGAGUGUCCGAAAAUUUCUAAUGCACUUAGCGCAAUGACUUCCCUUUCCUUGAGUGCAUCUUCUUGCUUGCGAGCAGUCUAUUUCUUCCUUUGUUCCAUUGUUUUGUUUGGGAUACUUACAAUUCAUAUUUUCUUUGUUAUAGUUAGGGUUAAAUAUAUGUGGAUUGGAUAGGUUCAUUUUCAUACUUUGUAGUUGAACAAAGUGUAGAGUAAUUGUAGUUUGGAAUCUCAUUUUUAAUUUGUUUACAAUAGACAUGGCACGUGGAAGUUUUUUUAUGAUGUUUCUAUUUGAUUGAGUUUUUAUUUGAUUGAGUUGUUGAUCUGUAAUUAUCAUUUUUGAAUGAAUAGGAUCUUUAAAAAAAUAAAAUAAAUUAUUUCAUCAUUUUUGAAAAUUUAAAAUAUAUUAAAAAAAUAAAAAUUUUCAUAUAAAUGAAUUUGUUCAAAUUUAUUAAGUUCUUUAUGAUCAUUAUUAAAAGGUAUGUUUUCCUUUCAAUCAAUAUAUUGUGCUAAUAAUUACUUUCACUAUUUUAGGCAUUAGGAUUAACCACACUCUGAUAUUACAAAAGAUAUGAGAAUGACUAACACUUUGUAAAGAUAGAAAAUCUAGUUGAGUUGAUUUUUCAUGUUUGUAAAAUAUCAAACUGACUUUGUAAAAGGUUCAAGAUCUUCUCUCAAAUAUUGUAUAUGUUUUAUCAAUUUUAAAUAUAGUAUAUGACGGGUGACAUAAGAAGAAUUAGAAAUAUAGUAGAGUCAUAAAACAUAUUUAAAAAUGAUAGAACCGAUUUUGCAUAUUCAUAAUCCUCUCAUGUCUUGAAUAAUGUCUUGAAUAAUGUAGUUGGAGAAUAUUUGACAUAUUGAAUUGAACUACUCAUUUUUAAAAUUCAAUUUUUGAUAUCUUUUAAGUCAUCAUUCACAAUCAAACUUAAUAAUGAACACAAUACAUGAACUUAUUCUUCCUUUAAAAAAAAAGUUUCCACGAUAAUAUCUUUCUUUUGAUAUCAAAAGAAGGAAGUUAUCAUGUAACUGUCUUGUCUUGAAGGGAGAAUAUGUUCAUAUGCGUCAUUGUACUCAUACGUUAAGUUUGAUUCUGAAGGAUGAUUUAAAAGAGAUCAAACUUUGAAUUUAAAAAAUGAGCAGUUCAAUUGAAUAUGUCAAAUGUUAUCCAUUCAAAGCAUGUAUUUAACCAGAGAAAAUUUUUUAUAAAUGAAUUGUUUGUCUUGAUGUUGAAAUUAAGUGGAAUUCGACUUAAUUGUUAGAGGCAAACUUGAAAUACAAAGAUGCAUUUGUCUUUAGUUGAUAUGUAAGAUAAGAAAUUUGUUGUUGAAAUAACCAUUAGAGGAGGAUUAGCAAUAUGCAAGGUUUGUUUUGUCUUUUUUUAAAUAUGUGUUACGACUCUACAAUAUGAAUUUUUUAUUCUUCUUAUGUCAUCAAUAUGUAUAUAAAGGAGGUAUUUCAAAUUGGUAAAAACAUUCGAAAAUAUUUUAAGAAUACUGAUGUGAGUAUAAAAUUGAUGAAAGGUAAAUAUGUAAAAUAUUAAAAAAAUCCUAAUGGAAUUAAUAUCUUUUUAUUGAUUACUAUUGCGUUUGACUAAGGUAGAUUUUGUUAUAUAUUUGAAUAUAAUAUGGUCAGAAAAUUGAAAUCAAAAUUAUUGUCAUAUUUAAAAUAUUACCAUUAACAUGUUUGGUUGGAAUUCAAUAAUUUAAGAUAAAAGUUAAAAUUAUUUUUGUUAAAAAAUAAAAAAUAAAAGGAAAAUUAAAAUAAUGCUGUGGGAAAUUUCAGAUUGGUCUGAAUUUUUAUUAUCAUACUAUAAAAAAUAUAAAAAAAUAUUCUAGUUGAUAUACAUUGCGUUUCCUGUCUUAAAUAAAACUAUGAAGAUUGAUAUGAAUGUAUGUAGUAGGUGUGUUUGCCUCUAACAUGUUCUUUCCGUUUGAUCUUAAAAGUUUGUCUACUUAAUUAUUAUGCUUAUGCUACACAAGACCACAUUUUGUUGGCUGCUCCAAAGUCAGAACUACAUACUAUGAUGACAUUGACGAAGUAAGUUACAUUAUUGGUAAGUAUCAGAUGAUGAUUUUGUUGUCAGGAUAUUAUUGAUGAUGAUCUUGAUUUCAACCCUCAGCUCAUCAAAAUGGCCAUUCAAUAUUUUAUUUGAUUUUAAUUGGUUAAUAUUUUUAAUAGAAUACGAGAUUGUUUUCUGUGAUAUUAUAUUCUGUCUCUUUUUUAUGGCAAAACAUCGCACUUCUGUUAGUCGUAAUGAUUCUGUAACAUGCACUUCUCUUCCAGUUAAAUAAUUUUAUUUACGGCUUGAAUGUUAUUUUCCUCAAACUAUUAUAAAGAAAUUAUAUUUAUUUUAUAUUUUAUAAUAAUAUCGUAAAAUAUUAUUUUCAACAAAUGUUAUGGUUAUAUUAUACUUUAUUAUGAAACUAUGUUUCUUAUAUAGAAAUGUUUUAUAUGAUUUUCGAAAAAUAGAUAGGAUCCAAGAAAUUGUUACCCAAACUCGAACGAAAAACGUAUUAAUCCGGAUUUGACGUAAACAAUUGGGUUUUAAAUCGGUUAAACUGAAACAUUAUCGAAUUUAUUUGCCUUACACAACUAUGAAACUAAGGAUGUGAAAUCUUCAAGUGUUGGGUUGUGUACAUUUAUUCAAAUUAAAUUCAUAUAUAUGCUACAAAACCCUUGUAUUUGAAUGUGUUUGGUUGUUUGAAUUAAAGAGAGUAAUUAAAUUAUUUACUUUUUUUUUAUUUUUUUUCUAUGUGAUGUAAAAUAGGAAUUGAUUUUGUUAUAUAAAAUGAAUCAACAUAGAUUCAAAUGUUUUUACACUAUUGUCAAUUAAAAUGGUUAUGGUUAUUUUGUAAGAUGCAAUCAAUGUGAAGACAUUUAUUAUAUACAUGAAUGACCAACCAAAUUUCAAGAAUACAAAGUCACAAGUAUAUUAAUAUGUUCAACAUGAAUGACCAACUAAAUGAGUUGAUAUAAUUUCAUUAUUUUUUAAACAAUAGACUUAUAUUUAUAUAAAAGUAACAAUAAGUAUUAAAAAUAACUGUAUAUAUUAAAUGAAUAAUUAAUCCAAAUUAUGAAUCAUAAACAAAAUGAGUAAGAAUUGUAAUAAUGUUUACAGAAAAUAAGGGGUGCAUUAUUCUUUUAAGGAAAACAAAAAGCAAGAUAAUGUACAACCAAAAGAUAGAUUAUAGUAAUCAAAAUUAUUAAAAAAUAAAAACAUUCAAAAAGUAGAUGGCACGUUUACUUGAAUAAACAUUUAGAGUUUUUUAAAUCAUUGUUUAAUCUUAUUAAUUAUUUAAUUAGUUUUGUUGUAACAUAGAUGACAUUCAAGUUUAAAGUUUUAAUUCAAUCUUACUUAUCUUUGUCAUGUUACUAAAAAUUGCUAAUAUUAUUUUCAUUCACAUCUUUUCAAUGAUAUAUUUUAUUUAACCAAUUGGUCACGAUUUUCCAAAAUACAAGUAAUAAAUAUUGUAUGGAAUUGAUGUCGUUAGUCUUGCACUUUUUCGUGUGUUACACUAUAUGUGAUCUUUAAUUUGAAUGUUACUUCCCAAGGUCCAAAGUGUAAAAAUAUUUUUUUGAAACCACUAAAUAUAAUUGUUAUCUUCAGACUGAAAACAUGAAUAUAUGCAUAAUGUAAAAGUCUACACUCAAUCGUUAAACUACUCUCUUUCGAUAAUUUUUUUUUAAUAAUUUUAUGAUAUUUAAACUAUUUAUAAUUAUUAUUUUUUAAAUAGUUUGUUUGGAUAUAAUAAUUGAAAUAUUUUGAAUUUUCAUUCUUUUUUAGAUAAAGUAGAAUAAUUUCUCCUUUAAGACAAACAUUUAUUUUAAAAAUAUUUGGUUUAAUUUUUCGAUCGAAUGUAUCUGACUUAAUUUUUUAUCUUAAUCGGUUUGUUUCGAUUUUUGGUUUAAGCCAACUCGAUUAGAUUCACAAACAUGGUUGAUUUUGCUUAUUUUUCAUUUUGGACCAAAUCAGCUCAACCUUUAGUAUUGAAGGUUGAGUUAAGUCAGUUUGAGUCAAAGAGUUAAGCUAAGUUGUCAAAGGCAAAAGGUUGAGUUGAGUCAGUUUGAACGCAAGGUUUAGUUGAGUUGGUUAUGGCCAAAGGUUAAAAUUAGUCGACCUUAGUCAAAGGUCGAGACUAGUCAAUCAUAUCCAUAGGUUGAAACUAGUUAGCCCUAGUCAAAGGUCAAGAAGAAUCAAUCUUGACUGAGUAGAUCGAGCCUUAACUGAAGAUCAAGACGAGUUGACCAUCUAGAUGAUUUGGACUAGGAUAAAAGUCUAGUAAAACUUUCACAUACCAAAAGUCAUACUAAGUAGGUCUGGGUUAAAGAUCAAGCCUAAGUAGAAGAUCUAGUUAAAUCAACUUAGGCAGAAGGUCAAGUUGGGUCGGUCAUACAGAAGAUCAAAUCCAAUAAUAUAGACAAGUUGACUUUGACUAAAGAUCUAGUUAAUUCAGCUUAUAGUCGAGUCGAAUUAUCCCUAGUUAAAGAUCAAAACGAUUCGACCUGAGCCAAAAGUCAAUGAAUCAACUUUUUAUACUUGUGGAACAACUUGUGAAAUUUCAAUAUUUUUUAGUUAAUUUUAAAUUUUAUUUUAGUUAUUUAAAGUACCUUCUUAAAAUUCCUUAUUUUUAAUUUCUUGUUAAAAUAAGUUAUUUUACUUCAAAAACAUUACAAAUUUUCUAAAUAAAUAAAUUAUUCUCCUUAUCCAAACGUAAUAAUGAUGUUUUUAACAUUGCUCUUUGACAUAUAAAGUCAAAUUUUGGCCAUAGUUAUGUUCUUCUUUUAGGUCUUAAAUGAAAAGCUUUAACCUUAAUAUUAGAUUGGCCACAUUCAACCUUCAGGUUUAAUUCUAAUUUUAAUUCUGUAAACUUCAGUACACAUAUAUCAAAUUAACCACUUUCAAAUUGGAGUAAAAUAUCUUAGUCAAAUAUUCGCAACAAGUAUAAUUUUAAUAGACAAAUUGAUUCAAGCCCUAAUAUGUUAGGUGUGGAUAUAAGUGUAAUUUAGAUUCACCAAAUACCUCUUGGACAAUUUUCCUGGAUGCAAGAUAUUUAUGAUAAAAAAUACUUUAUGAAAUUCAUCACUUAAACAUCAAUAUGUUUUGACAACUAACAUACUACACAUAAAAUUAAUGUCUUUCCAAACUUGUAACACUAUUAUUUACAUAUUCUAUUUCCCUCCAUACAUUAUUUUGCAUCUACUAUACUAAAAUAAUAAUUUCUUUUUUCUGGACAGGAAAGAAAAGAAAAUCAAAAAAUAAAAAAUUCAAACAAAAUAACAUAACAUAUAAAAAAUAUGAGAACCUAAAAAAUGUCUAAGAGUAAUGGUGGUUUUAAAAUAUGACACUAAAAUACUUUAAUAAUAAGACCUGAAACUAUACAUAGGUUUUCUUUUAACAUAAAUUCAUUUUAUAAAAUCUAUUAUUUUCUAAACUUUAUUCUAAAUUUCUCUUAUAGCUUCUCUCUAUAUCUUUGGCUUCAUCCUUUUGAAAAUUGGAAUACACCAUAGAAUUCUUGAAAGUAAAAUCUAUCUUCAUAUCUAAUUAGUUUGUCUAAUAAGGUAAGUUUUCAUGUUGUUCUUUUUUAGAGUCGUUAGGCUUGGGGUUAUACGUCUGGUAUAGAAACUUUAAUGAAUCUUUGUUCAAUUAAAAUUGUUGAGAUGUGAUUAUAUAAUUGAUCCAAGCUUUCUUUUUCCAUAUAUCACCUUCUUUAUGGUUAAGAGUUCUAAGAGCCAAAGGAUAUUGUCUUAUGCUCUUAAAUAGGUAAGGAAAGUUAGUUAUUAAAAGGUUUAAAUACCUCCUUUUUAGUCUCCAAGUUCGGAUCGAAAUAUUUGUUUUGUCUCCAGUUUCAAAAAUGAAGCCCUUUGGUCCCCAUGUUUUUAAUUUUGAGUGCAAUCAGUCCCUUCUGUUAAGUAGAUGCUAACGGCGUUAACUUUUCUUCUCUCUCCUCUGUUAUUCCUGACACUUCUUUCUCUCUCUCCUAUUUCUCUUCUCUCUCUCACCUUUACAACUCACCUUUUUCUCUUUCACCUUUUUCAUCUCUUCACUAUUUUACUUCUCUCUCUCUCUUCUUCUUUUUUCGUAAUAAUAUCGUAGCCACUGCAAAUCAAGACAGCUCAUAUCCAAUGUUUAACAGUAACACAAACCAUAAAUCAGACAAGAGCCAGAGCCAGAUAUCCACAAUCAUACGAUUUCCAGUUUGCAAAUAAUACCACCAAUCGUUAUCUACUUAAGCAACUGUCCUUCUCUCCUACUCAAACUAGGAAAUUCUUUAUCUAGAUGCGCCCACAAAUAAUAGAGCAUCACUGUUUUAGCCAUUUCCAGCUAUUUAGCUAAAUCUUGGGAAGUUUUUGCCUCCAACUUCUAUGUUGAAUCUAGAAAGCAAAUAAACACGAAUUUUCCCCUCCCCAUCACCAUCAUCGUAAGUGCUAUCAUCUGCGGGCGAAUCCUUAGAGGGCGGAGAAAGAGUUGGAAGCAAGGGAGAGGUUUGUGAGGGAAAUUAGGUCUUCGAGGGAGGAAGGGAUUUCGCCAGCGAGGGAGUCGGAGGAGAGGUUGAGAAGUUGGAGGGUGUCGAGCAUGGUGAUGGAGGGGGGAUGUUGCCUUUGAGGCGGUUGUUGGAGAAAUCUAUGAAAGUGAGGUUGGAGUGGAGGUGGCCGGGGAGGGGUCCGGUGAGGUUGGCGUUGGAGAUGGUCAGGGUUUUGAGCUUGGUCAUGUGGGCUAGGAUGACGAAGGAGCCGGAGGCUUUGAUUUGGCUGCUGGAGAUAGUGAGGGAGGUGAGGUUCUGGAGCUGGGAGAGCCAGACGCCGGAGAUGCGGCGGAAGCCGUUGAUGGAGGAGAAGGAGGUGAGGGAGGAGGCGAGUUCGGGGGGAGACGAACGGGGUAGAGGGGGCAGUUGAGGAGGGAGAGGGAGCGGAGGGUGGAGAGGGACUUGAGGGCGGUGGCUGUUUCAUGGUGGUGGUUUGUCAGGAACACAUGAGAUUACGAGAAUGAAGUCUAGUGUGGGAACUCUGAAGUGAGUGACAGAGUAGAAAACAGAGGUAGGUGAGAGAGAGAAGAGAAAUAGGAGAGAGAAAAAGAAGUGUCAGGAAUAGCAGAGGAGAGAGAAGAAAAGUUAGCGUCGUUAGCAUCUACUUAACGGAAGGGACCGAUUGCACUCAAAAUUGGAAACAUGGGGACCAAAGGGAUUCAUUUUUGAAACCGGGGACAAAACGAAAAUUCCGAUCCGAACUUGGGGACUAAAAAGGUAUUUAAACCUUAUUAAAAACCAAUAGUGCCUUGGUAUAGAAAUGUGAUGAAAGAGUGAUUUAGGUUAAAUUGGAUUCGAUGUCUAAUGACUUGGUUGGUUGAGAAUGUGAAUUUGAUUGAUUAAAUCUGAACUAUGAAUUGAUUUGUUAUGAUGAAAGUGAUAUGGUUUGAAUUCGAAUUAUGAGCAUGUAUGCAUUAAAUAUGUAAUUUGUUUAAGGUGGUAUGAUUUCUUUAAAGAUGAGUUAGUCUGUUUCAUUGGAACUAAAGGAUGUAUUUUUUUACUUUAAAUUUUUUUGUUAUGUUUGUUGAUGAGGAUUAUCUAAGAGACAUUUAAUUGAUGAAAUUGGUGAUUCUUGAAUUAAAACAUAGUUAUAUUAUAAUCUUGUAAAGUAUAUUAGUUUGCAAAUAGCUUAAAAAGAGUCAAUUUGAUCAAUUAAAACUCAUAGAGAAAGUUUCGACUUUUGAUGCAGCGCCUGACACUCCUAUAGUGUCAUUGGGUGCAACGAAGUCAAUGAGUUCACUGAUUUGUUGAAAUUGGGUUAGGUGCCACUUCUAGACCGUCAGACAUUUUGAAAUCAAUGUUUUCCAAAGGGGGAGGAGGGAGGGGGGUAACUCCGAGCACCACUUACCUAACGCUAGGCAUUAUCCUGUUUUCCUAUUAUGAUUAAUCUCAAAAAAUUUGGGCAAUUGGAUUGGGCUAAAAUUUUAACAGUUGGUCCUAAACACAUGGUUCUUCACUUUGACUUUUAGGAUCUUUUAUCAGAGGUCUAUGGGUACAAUAAUGCAUCUCACAGUUUUAAUGUAAUUAAUGGAAUUGAGUGUUAUACUAAUAUAAUAGAAAAUGAAUGAUGAAUUAUUAACAUAUAAUUUGAAAUAAAUAAUAGGUGAAUUAUGUUGUGAGAUGAGUUUGGAUUGAGGUAAAAUACAUAAGUACGACAUGGUAUGAUGAUUUAAGAUUAUAUGAGAAUGUGUGAUAUAUAUGAUGUGGUGUGAUGAACGAGUUACGUGUGAUAGGUUGUUCUUUGACUAUUUCUUGUGACGUCACACACCCAUUUGGUAAUGUUUAUUGAGAAUUAAUUAAUAUGAAUUUAGUUUCUAUGCUAUGAAAAGGAAUGUAUAGAUCAAAAUAAUUGGUGCUAAGAGAUAUGUUUUAUGAAAUUAUGAUAUUUUUAUGAGUAUGAAAGUGGAGGAAUGGAAUGGAAAGAUGAAAAUUAUUGAAUUGUAUGUUUGUAUGGGUUUGUGUUUUUAAGGGAGAAGUGAAAAUCCUUGUUAGUUUAGUGUCAUCCAUUGACUCAAGAUACGUGUUGGGUAAAAGUCAUCCUAUACUCUACUAGAUUUACAAACUCACAUAAAGUAUCAUAGUCUAGGUUGUGAGAGUUGAAGGAGGCUCUUAUAGUGAAAUUAAGGGUAAGACUCCUUGUAUGGCUAUGCCACAAGUAACAUAUCUUGUCUAGAGCAAUUUGAUUGAUUUAGUUAGGCCAAGUGGAUCCGUGGCCUUUAUUAUAAUCCACUUUUAUGACAGAUUUAUAAGUGUCCAAUAUAAGUGAAUUUUAACAUAAUAUUGACACUUAUCUUGUUUUAAUUUUGUUUAGAUUAAUUCACUCAUAUUUAGUUUGUUUUGCAGUUCUUGAUAUCAAAAAGUCAAAGUGGAAAAAUAAAGAAAAUGGAUGAAUAUCAAGUAAUCUGGACAAAACUGACACUAGUGUAGCUGAGCUAUAGAGUUGAGGCUUAAGCCACACAAGAAAACUCAUUGCAAAGGAAAACCUCAAACAUUAAGCCUAAAGCUAAGCCAUGAAAACUCCUUCUCAAAGAACUUAUCUCGAAAACAAGACCAUCAAAGCAUAAGGCUUUGGACACAAUAAGAAAACUCUCCUGAGGAGGAAACCUCGAGCACCCACCUUUAGAAAGAUCUGGAAUGUAACUUUUACAACUUGAGCCCAAAAUAUGGAGCUUAAGCCCUGAGAGAGGCAGUUUGGAAAUAUUUGGAAUAAAACCUCUACAACUCAAAGGCCAGAGCUGGAGUUAAGCACUGUCAUAGAUAGUUUAUAAAUACAAACUCAUGUCCUCAUUUUAGGGAUUAAGUGAAGGAUCAAAUAUAUAGUAAUAGAGUAAGAAUGAGUUUGUGAGGCUCGAGAGAGAUGCUUUCAUUGUACAUCUUAUGUCUAGAUAUUGCUAGAACUGUAUUGUAAUAUUUUAUGAGUAGUUGAACUCUCUCGUAUUCAGGUUGGAUGUAAUCAAUUCUAAUUCUCUAUAUUUUUACUUCUUGAAUAUGUAUCUAUGC